UCUCUAUUUUAAAAGCUCUGUCAUGGGCGAAUUAGAAAUUUGUGUUGAAGUCAAGGACAAAGGUAAUAUAAAUUGACAACAGUCUCCACCACAAUUGCUCCUUGUUAAUUUGCAUAAUUUGUUUAUUGUUUGGUGUGUUUUUCCUUUUUAGAGUGUCUAUUCAAGCCAGACCCUUGAGGCAUAAACAGUAGCAGUCUAAUCUCUCUAAGGACAUAAUUUAUACUCUUAAAGUCUCACAGUGAAUAGCAGUAGGAAACCAACUAAAUUAGACGUACACUGGAGUCCCCAGGAAUGAUACAGGCAAUAUGCAAGCCUAGGUAACCAGGAUGUGUUUCAAGAGUUACCAUAGUAAAAACCUAGAAACGAGUAGAAGAAAUUGUGAAUCAUGUUGCAACUGCCACCUGGCACUAUUCCGUUAGCACUGGAAAAGCAAGCCUAGCCUGCCAAUAGCAUCGUUUGAGUGACAGACUGUGAAAAUUCAAACACUCCACAAAAACAUCCUUUUCCUCUGGAAAAAAAUGAAAUUUG
rnacentral:lncRNA from 2 species